rnacentral:rRNA from 1 species
GAUGAACGCUGGCGGCGUGCCUAAUACAUGCAAGUCGAGCGAAUGGAUUAAGAGCUUGCUCUUAUGAAGUUAGCGGCGGACGGGUGAGUAACACGUGGGUAACCUGCCCAUAAGACUGGGAUAACUCCGGGAAACCGGGGCUAAUACCGGAUAACAUUUUGAACCGCAUGGUUCGAAAUUGAAAGGCGGCUUCGGCUGUCACUUAUGGAUGGACCCGCGGCGCAUUAGCUAGUUGGUGAGGUAACGGCUCACCAAGGCAACGAUGCGUAGCCGACCUGAGAGGGUGAGCAGACACACUGGGACUGAGACACGGCCCAGACUCCUACGGGAGGCAGCAGUAGGGAAUCUUCCGCAAUGGACGAAAGUCUGACGGAGCAACGCCGCGUGAGUGAUGAAGGCUUUCGGGUCGUAAAACUCUGUUGUUAGGGAAGAACAAGUGCUAGUUGAAUAAGCUGACACCUUGACGGUACCUAACCAGAAAGCCACGGCUAACUACGUGCCAGCCGCCGCCGUAA